GGGAAUGGAUGGGGCCCGGUGGUCCCGACGGACUUCAAAUCCGGUUUGUCCGCCUCAUAAGCGGAUAGGUGGGUUCGACUCCCACACAUUCCCGCCA
rnacentral:tRNA from 1 species